rnacentral:rRNA from 1 species
GACGAACGCUGGCGGCGUGCCUAAUACAUGCAAGUAGAACGCUGAAGGAGGAGCUUGCUUCUCUGGAUGAGUUGCGAACGGGUGAGUAACGCGUAGGUAACCUGCCUGGUAGCGGGGGAUAACUAUUGGAAACGAUAGCUAAUACCGCAUAAGAGUAGAUGUCGCAUGACAUUUGCUUAAAAGGUGCAAUUGCAUCACUACCAGAUGGACCUGCGUUGUAUUAGCUAGUUGGUGAGGUAACGGCUCACCAAGGCAACGAUACAUAGCCGACCUGAGAGGGUGAUCGGCCACACUGGGACUGAGACACGGCCCAGACUCCUACGGGAGGCAGCAGUAGGGAAUCUUCGGCAAUGGACGGAAGUCUGACCGAGCAACGCCGCGUGAGUGAAGAAGGUUUUCGGAUCGUAAAGCUCUGUUGUAAGAGAAGAGCGAGUGUGAGAGUGGAAAGUUCACACUGUGACGGUAUCUUACCAGAAAGGGACGGCUAACUACGUGCCAGCAGCCGCGGUAAUACGUAGGUCCCGAGCGUUGUCCGGAUUUAUUGGGCGUAAAGCGAGCGCAGGCGGUUAGAUAAGUCUGAAGUUAAAGGCUGUGGCUUAACCAUAGUACGCUUUGGAAACUGUUUAACUUGAGUGCAAGAGGGGAGAGUGGAAUUCCAUGUGUAGCGGUGAAAUGCGUAGAUAUAUGGAGGAACACCGGUGGCGAAAGCGGCUCUCUGGCUUGUAACUGACGCUGAGGCUCGAAAGCGUGGGGAGCAAACAGG